CAUAUCUGAAACCUCCGGCAUGUUCAGAUCUGGAAAUUAAUUUGCCGUGAUACAUAUUUAUAUAUGCGUGAUACGUUUUUUCAAUUUAUUGUAUAUUUGAAUCUUUUUAUUUUAUUUUUUACAUGUAUCUAAUGUUUUGUAAGUAUUAUUUAAAUUAACUCAACAAUAGAUACAUGUUUACAAGCUUAUAGAUACAUUUUCUCUUAUCUUGUAUCAUUGUUUCACUGUUUAUGACUAGUAUGUAUCUCGUAUUGUUUAACAUUUAUUGAUUUAAGCAUAUCAAUCGAUACAUGUAUUUCAACCAAGAUACAUAUUUAUAUUAUCUUGUAUCUAUAAUAUUAUGUUCAUACAGUUUUUCUAUAUAUUGUUCUGUGUUAUUGGAGUUAUUGCAUCUAAUGUUAUUUUUUAAAUUUGAUUUUUUUAGGAUCCAUUUAGAGUGGAAUAUAUUACCGGGAUAGCACAACAAGAUAGUGAAAGUUUAUAAGUAUUACAUUACCUUUCCAUUGUUUUCAUUAUCUUAUACAAGUAUAUAUAUAUAUUUUUAAUUCAAUUAGGAAUUGUGGUGUAUUUGUAGCUGUUUAUGUCGAGUACCUGAGCGAGGGAUUAGGCAUUCCCUCAUCGGGUAUUGAUGUUCAAUACCAUCGCAUGACAUGUGUCACUCUUUUGUGCAAGUGAAAGGAUACUUUAAGGAGAAUGACAAUCCACCAAAGCCAAGGAGCAACUUCACACAAAAAGAAAAAGUUUGUGCUUGGCAUAUUGAGUAGUUGUUUACUUGUUGGCUAGUUGAAUGUUAUAUAGUUUGAUGAUGUUAGUACAUAUUGUUAUUGUGUUUUUUAGAUGUUUUUCAACAUCAUGGAAUCUACCUUAUCACCAAUGAUUGCCUAAUGGCUAUUUCAGAUUAUGAUAUAUUAUUAUUUUGUUGUACGUUUUGUUACACAUUACAAAGUCAUCAUAUUUAACAUUUUUCUGUUACAUUGUAUUAGAUACAUAUUUAUAACUAUACGUAUCAAGUUUAUUGAAACAUAUAUAACUAAGUCCAGUAAUGAAAGUAACUAACACAACAUUACAUUAUGCAACAUAACGAUACAUCGUGCAAUUAAAUCUCAUAUUCAAUCAUAACAUAAUUUUCUUUUUCUUAAUUUUUUUUCUUUGCAAGACAUUUUGUCUCUAAAUUGAAUAACAACUUCGAGCUAAACGUAAUUAUUUAUACGCUUCAUACUACUCACAAAAUAUAUUUUUCAAUAGAUACAAUUUUUUUACGAUUGUAUCAAUUGUUAAUUACGUAACGAUAGUCUUGUGCAAUAUGUAAGCAAUUUAUCUAUGAACGUUCAGAUAAAUCUUUUUAUAUCAUUUAGUUACUUUGAAUUAAAUAUUGAAUUCACAAAUACAUAAGAAAUUCAUUAAGCUUCUUAAUGUGAAUAUUUUUUUUAUUUUUCAUUAGAUACAUUUUUUUUAUUUUUAUAUGUAUCUAAUAUUUUGUAAUUAUUAUUCAAAUUAACACAACAAUAGAUACAUGUUACAAGCUUAUAGAUACAUUUUCUCUUAUUUUGGAUUACUGCUUCACUGUUUAUGAAUUAUAUGUAUCUCGUAUUGUUUAACAUUGAUUGAUUUAAGAAUAUCAAUAGAUACAUGUAUUUCAACCAAGAUACAUAUUUGUAUUAUCUUGUAUCUAUAAUAUUAUGUUCAUACAAUUUUUUUAUAUAUUGUUCUGUGUUAUAUUUUUUGGCUUAAACAUGAAAACAACCUUGUAUUUUUGUCUAAAUUCAAUCAACAAGAGAUACAUAUUUUUGUUUAUCAAAACAUUUGGCUUUAAAAUUGAAAUAAUGAUGAAAUACAUAAUUUGACAGCCUAUAAGCCAAUAAACUUAAAACGAGUAAUUUGACAACUUAAAACUAGUAAUUUAAAAUUCAGAUUAUAAACGAGUUGACAAACAAAUCAUGAGUACAUUUCUUGAUUAUAAUCUGACUUUUUAAUCUGUAUUUGUUGACACCUAAUUUUUGCCCCCCCGACUAAAAUUUAAUCCUGAGUUUCUUCGGUCUUUAAUAAAAUUGAAACAUUUAUUUCAUCCAAAUAAAAAGGAUUUUUAAAAUAUUUAUUUGAAUAAAUUUGUCAUUUUAAGUAGCUAUUAUAUAUUAUCUUGUCCAGUUAUACAAGAUUAUAUAAUUUGUUACUUAAAUAUUUAUUUUACAAAGUAUCGGAUUUUAAUUAAGGUUUAUCUUAAAAAAUAAAUUCAAAGGAUUAAAAUCUUGAUUUAAAUAUAGUUUAAUCUUAAAAAUAAUUUAUUUGGAUAAAUAUGUGUUUAAUUUUAUAAAAUUAAGAAACUUGGGAUUAAAUCGGUUGAUAAUUCAUAUGGUAUCCUGAUUCAAUUUAGCGAAUUCAUUGAAUUUGGUCAUAAUUGAAAUUAAUAGGCUACAAUUGCAAGCAAUUGACUAAUUAAUUCUCAAUUGACUAUUUUUGUAAAAAUAACUCAAUUACCCAAAUCCCUAAUCUACCCAAAAUAACCCAACACUAACAAUUCCAGGCCGAAUAUUUAAAAACUCAACUAGCCCACUUUAAAAAAACACCUACCCGGCCCAAUACCCUUUCUCCCUUAUAACAGCAACAUCAACCACAGCUAAAUCUAGCCACUGCGUACUGCAAAAGACGAUUUCAACCAGCCAAAUCCAAACAACAACAACGAUUUCAACCCUUAACCCGUCUUCAACUCGCAUCCAACGGCAAAACCCGAACCCAACCCGUUUCUCUUUCAUCAUUGUCACGCGUUCCACGCGGGUUCGUAUGAGGAAAGCCUGGAAUCUUCCUAAAUGGAUGAGUUGGCUCAUCCAAUGUUCAAAUCCCGUAAAUAUCGGAUUAACUGGUACGAAUUUGUACAUAUUUGGUAGAAUUUCAUUAGUAUUGAAGAAUAAUUAGUUUUCCCCAAUUUUUGUUGGUCCACCGGUUUCGGAUUUGUUGAAGAAAUCCAAAAAGAGGUACGAGUUGUUGAUGAAACCAAAGUUGUGAGGGGAUUUUCGAAUUUCAAAUUUUGAAUUCCCUAUUUUUAGAAAUCUCUAAUUUACCCCUUAUACGCCUUCUAUAUAUAGCUCUCUGUAGAGCUAAGCAAACGGUUCAAGAGAGAGGGGGAGAUUCGAAUUUUGGGCAACUAAAAUACCUAGUUCAAAUUUUGGGUCUGGUGGGAGGAAAAUCCUGGGGUUUCGAAAAUUAGGUUGGUGAUGUGAGAGUUUGAAAAUUUAGAGAGGAAAAAAGGGAGGAGAUUUUAAAAAAAAAGUUUUUGGGAGAAAGGGGGGGGGGGGGGGGGUUGUGUGUGUUCUCUCUUCUUUCCGAGCUAGUUUCAAAAUCAGGGGGAAAUUUUAGCUAAAACCUGAGGGGUUGUGAAAAGUUUGGGGAAUUCUCAAGAGAAAGAAAAUAUUUAUUUUAUUUUCACUAAGGUUUCGAAGGUGUAAAAAAAUAAUUCUUUUUAAGGAAAAAACAGUGAAGUUACUUGUUCUCUAGUUCGCCUUAUCGGGAAGCUGGUCGAUCAAUUGAAAAGUUCCCGAAUCGACAACAUUGACUCCCGGUAGUGACAAUUUCUCUGAUAGCUCAUCGUUCCAUUUUGCUGCCCCAAAAGAGGUAAUACCUUUCUCAUUCAUAGUUCCUAUUAUCGUUUCUUUGUUUCUUCUUCAUCUCCUUCUUUAUAAGGUUUAUGUUGUUUCCUGUAUGCCGGGUUGUCUGCUGUAGAAGCCUUAAAGGCUAUAGUUUUCUUUGAGUGAAGCAAGUGUUGGAUUGUUAUUACGUUGGGUUAAUGUUGGUUUUAAAUUGAUUAAUGGGCGAUUUAAGUUGUUGGCUACUGCUUGUGUUUUGAAUGCUAGUUUCAUAGCUAAAGUUUCAUGCUUCGAUCUUGAUUAAUCGUUUCGGGCUGAUGGUACGUUAUUAUGGCUGAUUCAUGAUUUAAAGUUGCAUGCUUGUAUGGUUGUCGUGCUGAUGGUGUCCUGUUAUAGCUGAUUCUAUGUAAAGUUUUGUGCUUUGAAUUUGUUUCAUAGUUUCGGGCUGCUGGGAUCUUGUUAUACCUGAUUUAGUGGUUAAAGUUUCGUUCUUUGAUUUUGCUUAGUUAGUUCAGGGCCGAUGGUGUCUCGUUCAUGGUUAGUAUUUGACGUUAUUUUAUUUGUCGUCACUAUCUUGAUGUUGUUAAGUUUAUAGCGUUGUUAAUGGGAUCGCCUCUUGAGUUUUUUGGCUUCUUAAAUGCCGAAGGACGAUGAGGAUACGUCCAAUAGUGAGCUAGAAAGUCUCAUGACUCCUCGAGGACCAUCCCGACCAUUAAAACCUCAUUUUUGAGUUCGUCAGAAAGAGGACGAGGAUAGAAAUAAUACCCCCCAUCAUUUUGUUCUUAGCCCACGUAUCUUGCUCUUUAUUUUGAAGCUCUCGAAGUGUAAGGGUUUGUUGGGGGAAUGUCAAACAUGUGAACAGAUUUGACCUCUUUUGAUACGUCUGAUGUCGAAAAUCAAUGAAGUUGAUAGGUUUUUUUUGCUUCCUUUGAGCUUGAUUCGUAUCAUUUUCCGCUUAGAUAUUCGUUUCAAGGUCUAAAACUUUUAAAGUUUUGCAAUACCAUGUUUCAUAAGACACUAGUGAUUGCCUUUGUCUCUAAGGUCUGUUAUAUACUGAAAAACCAAUUUCUCCGCGUCGCAGUGUUCACGUUAGUCUUAAGCUUGUUGUUCCGGCACACAAAGAAUCUUGCUAAAAUGUUUCUAUUGUUUUGUAUGCGUUUCUCUGUGUAUAUGGUGGGAUGAUGCAUGAGUAGGCGGUGAUGGUAUCUUUAUUAUGGUUAAAUAAUAAACAGAGGAGGUACCCAUUGUUGACUGUUUGCUGCAUUUGUUCAGUAUUUAUGGUGAAGUUUAGGUCCCGACUGGUUCCUCGGAUCUUCUAUUUUAAUUGACUUUUAUAGUUAUUGUCUUGCUCAAGCUUGUGUUUUUUUACUGAAAGAAUAUGAAUUUUCCUUAUUCUCUUGAUCUUCCUUUGUUUCACCUAAGAUGUUUGAGCUUAUGGUCACUCAUUGAGUAAAUCAUACUUUUGUCAAUUAGUUCUGUGGGUUCUUUGAGUAUUUAGAAAACAAAAGAGAUUCAUCUCAUUUGAUUCACAACAUUUGAUUUCUUGUCUACUAAAUGGGUACCUCAUAGAUUUGUGUAUGUUUAUCGAACAAGAUUCAGUUUUUCCAGGUUCGUUGGUUUUAUUUAUGUGGCUGACUUGAAAAAAUAGAGCUUUACUGUCUACCCUGUUGCUUCAGUUAGUCACUAUCUUGCCCAAAGGUCACACUUUUGCCUUUAUAUCGUAAAAUAUGAAUCUUCUGUUGGGUUGAUUCUCUGUAUUUUCCUUUCUUUGGUCUAUGUAUGUGGAAUUGAUGUUAACCUAUAUUGUCAUCCAUAGUCAAAAAUCCAAUUUUAUGAGUUUCUUGGUUAUAGUCUAUUAAGGAUUCAAUUUGUCACUGCUUUGGAAGGUCGUAAUAGAUUGUUGUUAUGUUUGCUGCAUCUGAAAUACAAAAAGGAGUCAGUUUCUGUUUGGUUACUCAUUUUCCUUUUUUUUUUUUUUCUUUUUCUUUCCAAUUGGACAUGUAUUAAUGUUUUCUUUAUUUUUUCUUGUUUUGCAUGUAAAUUCAAUCCGGAGUCCGAAUGGGCUUCCUUUUCUUUACGUUUCUAAGAGGCCAAUGAGGCCUCUCUUUUCGAGUCAAACUUCGAGGGAAGGCCCAAAACGAGUUUCUUAGCAUGAAAAUGCAAGGGAUCGAAAGAGGGAAAAAUGGAUUAAAGUUUCAUCCUCGAAGCAGCUAAGAGACGCGAAAGUCUCGUUUGUCAUUUUAUUUAUUUAAGCAUUAUUUACUUAUGUCAUUUAUUUUACUGAUUUAUUUAUUUAUUUGGGCCUUGAAGCCAAAGUUGUAAAUUUAAUACAGGUGGAAAAAGACUCGAGCCAAAGGCUCGAAACAUAGAAUUAGGACAGGUGAAAUGGGUCAAAAACCCAAUUAGACUAGGACAGGUUUUGUUGGUUUGGGCCAAUGGCCUAAAUCGUUUAUUUGCUCCUCCCUUUCCCCGUUUAUGUGUUUACUUGCUUAUUUCAUUUGUGUAGACUUAGUUAAAAUCCCUAUUAGGUUGUCUAAAACUGUUUUUACAUAAUUUUUUUUCUUCCUAAAAAUCAAUCACUUUUCAACAAAUUCAUCUUUUAGAAGCUAAUCAAAAGACGAUUUUCAAACAGUCCGGAUAACCACAAGUUAGCGGACGUUUUAGGUGCCUAACACCUUCCUAAAACGUUAAUAGGAAUCGCUUACUCAGAAUCUCUUAACUUAAACGAUUUUCCUGUUUUGAAUUGUUUUAAGUAACUUUAUAAAGGUUUUUUAAUUCCUUUUCAAAAUUAAGUGGCGACCCUCUCUUAAAAAGUCAAAAAUUUCUUUGCAAAAUAGUAUUCAUGAAGGAUGAAUUGCAUACAUUGUGACAUCUGAUAGUGAAACAACUAGUGAGGAAAAAUCUUCAUCGACUUUUCUUGAGAUAGAGAUUGAGAUCGACAUUGUUAUAUCUCCGACUACAAUCAUCAAUCUUGUAUUCUUUGUGCUUGAUAUCUGAUACGGGAUAAAGAGACAUCUUAGCACUCGAGGACAUGAAGACGUGAGUGAAGAUCCGAGCUCGUGGGGCUUCCCGUCCAAGGAAUAAGCUUUGAAUUGUUGAGAACAAGUCUCAACACUCCAAAACCGUCCAAGGAGUACACUAAAGGCCACAUUUUUGUUUGGGCUCAUUAAGGGCCUUUUGGUCAUUUUUGUAAUAAGUGUUGUCUUAGUCUAUAAAUAGAACAUUUAGGUCAUUUUGUCAUUUAGAACUUUGAUGAUAUUUUUUGAAUACUCUUUGAGAGUGUCUUGCAAGGUGGAAUCCUUGUAUUGAUAGCUUGCUUAGAAAAGGUGGUUGAUUGAGAGCUUUGAUUCCCUUGAGGUCUACGUAAGAGUGUAGGUGUCUUGUAUUCAUGUUGUUUGUGUUUUGAUGUUUAACGUACAUCUUAGUGCCUAUAAUAUGUAUUACAUUAUGUCUCACUAUUUAUCCAUUUAUCUAUUGCAAAUCGUUGGUUCUUGUGUUUGCCUCUUGUAGCCGUUUUGUAUUCUUGUUGUCUUGUGUUGUUGUUGCAUUUUUGGGAACUGUCUUGAGGUUUGUUUGGACUAUUUGGUAUCAUUUGGUAUCAAAUCCAUCAUUUAUUUCAUUCCCACGAGAUCAAUUUUGGGUUUGUUCACUUAGAAAUAAAAAAAAUAUUGAAUAACUGAAAAACUCAAAAAUAGUAAUCUUCCACGUUUUUGUGUUUAGGCCAAAAUUUGAAGCCUGGUUUUCUUGUGAUUUUUGUGUGUUUUAUGUGUUCUAGUGUUAGAUCUUUGUUUUCUGACAUUAGAAGAGGUGUCCAAGGUCAAAAAUCUCACAAAAAGAAGUUAUUCUACGGGUUUGGUGUCUUGACUGAAGUGUUGUUGUUGUUGUUUGACCGAAUUUGUGUCUAGAUUUAGGUGUUAUUUUGAUUGUCUUUGUUGUUUGGCUGAAUUUGUGUCUAGAUUUAGGUAUUGUUUUGAUUGUCUUUGUUGUUUCUUGUGUUGGUUUUCUUUCUCUCUAACACUACUUGAGUCUAACCCAAGUUCUUGAGCAAAAAGAAAUUACAAGUUGUUGUGGGAAGAGUGGGCGGUUUUAUUGUUGUUGUUGUUGGAGUUCUUGUGUUGCGUUAAAGAAGUCUUGUAAAAGGUUGUUGUUUGAUCCAAAUUCAAAGGGAAGAGAGUGUGGAUUCUUGUUAGUCUUGAAACAACUUUCAAGACAUUACCAAAGGGAAAAAAGAACAAAAAACCUCCCAAAAGUCUCAUACCAAAAAAGAAUAAAUUCAUUUUUUUCUAGACAAGCCAAAAGAGGAAAGGGGGACAAGACCUCCAAAAGGUUGUCUUGCCAUUUUGGUGCAAGUAGGUGAAAGAAUUUAUAAGUCUUGAAAGUAGAGUCUAGACCUUGUUUGUCCUAUACCUUGGCCGAAAUUCUUCUCUUCCAUACAUGAAAUUGAACAACUAGUUUCUUGAAACAAAAAAUUUUCAACUUCAACCACAUUCCAACGUCCAAUAGUUAAGUGCCAUGUCAUCAAAGAGCUCAAGAACAUUGGAUAUUCUAGUUUCACUUUCUUGUUUCCAUUAGUUUCAAUUUUGUUGAUUCUCAUGCUAAUUAGCAAACUUAGUAAAUACCUACUAGGUUGUAGAUUAGUUUUUGAGUAUGUUCUCUUUCGUGUUAAGCGUUGUAUUGUGUGCUUUUCUCGUUUUUAAGUCGUAGUAUUUUCUUUGGUCCAAGUUCGAACACCAUUUCUUGAGUUGUUUCAAACAAGAAUCUACUUUGACCUCGAGCCACAAUUCGGAUCAAGUAACCUCAUUGGAGUAUAAACGAGUUAUCAACACUUGUGAGGCCAAUAGAGUGAAUACUUCUAAAGUAUGAGUUUGAGAGAUUGCGGACUGUUUUGAGACGAAUUUUGGAUUGAUUUUUGCUAACCUUUAAUGUGUUUGUUGUUUUUGUGUUGUUUGUUUAGUAGUUCUUGAUAGGUACAUGACGGGUGAAGGUGAAAUGCCUAGUUGGUUUAAAUCCAUCAUGGCAAAGCUUGAUGCCAUAGAAAGCCGAUUGAGAUCUUUUGAAGGGAAAAUAGAGAGAAUGAAAGGACGAGUGGAAAGAAUGGAAAGAAUAAUGGAUAGAAUGGAAGGAUGAAUAGAAAGGACAUAGAGCUCUAUUUGCAAGAAGUUGGAUAACUUGAUAGAGCAUCCAAGAUUUCCUAAUCCAAUUCCCAUGAGUGGCCACGCUCCACAUGAGCUACUAGGUAAUCAAAUUAACUCUUGCACUCUAGUGAAUAAGGCUAAUAACCAUCUAAGUGUGAAUGAUAGUUUGUCUUUAAGUGAGCCAAAUGUGCCUUCAUUUUGUGAUGAUAAUGUACAACUUAAGAUUGUGGAUACACUAGUUGAUCCACCUAGUUUUGAAGCCAUUGUGGCAAGUGAUAGUAUAUUUUCUUAUGGAAGUCAUGAAGACCAACUUGUGUGUGAAAAUGGUAAUGAUGAACAUGUUGGCCGAUUGACUAAGGAUGACCCUUUAGUUGUUUUUGUUGUAGAUCAUGCGAGUAUAGAGGGAAUAUUUGAUCGUAAUUGUAGUAGUAUUGGGGUAGGGAAGUGUGUCCCCAACCCGUUCCCAUGGACACUCCACCCAUUUGACCUCGGUGAUCAUUUGAAAUACGGUGAUGAUGUCUUUUGGAAUGACUUGAAUGUGUAUGAAAUGUCUGGUUUUUCUAUCUCGGCUUUCAAGCCUAUUUGUUGUUCCAAUAAGAGUCUAAGUUUUUUACUUGAUAAUCAACUCUUGUUCCUUGUUUCUUGUCAUACUUAUGUGGGUUGCCUAAUUUAUUCUUUCUUGGGAGGGUAUUUGGAUAAGAGAAAUGUUUGGUUGUAUGUGAAGUUUGAGCCACCUUGGCAAGAUCCUAUAAUUGAUUACACUAAUUCUAAUCCUCAUACCUUGAGGAACUUGUUUGCUUGUCGUUCCUAUUGUUUUACAAGGUUCAGAUUCGAGGACGAAUCCUUUCUAAGGAGAAGAGGAUGAUACGGGUCAAAGAGGUAUCUUAGCAUUGAGGACAUGAAGACGUGAGUAAAGACCCGAGCUUGUGGGUCUUCCCAUCCAAGGAACAAGUUUUGAAGUGUUGAGAAUAAGUCCCAACACUCCAAAAUCGUCCAAGGAGUAAACUACAAGGCCGCCCCUUUGUUUGGGCUCAUUAAGGGCCUUUUGGUCAUUUUUGUAGUAAGUGUUGCCUUAGUCUAUAAAUAGAACAUUUAGGUUAUUUUGUCAUUUAGAACUUUGAUGAUAUAUUUUAAAUACUCUUUAAGAGUGUCUUGCAAGGUGGAAUUCUUGUGGCAAGGUGGAAUCCUUGUGUUGAUAGCUUGCUUAGAAACAGUGGUUGCUUGGGAGCUCCGAUUCCCUUGAGGUCUAUGUAAGAGUGUAGGUGUCUUGUAUUCAUGUUGUUUGCGUUUUAAUGUUUAAUGUACAUCUUAGUGCCUAUAAUGUGUAUUACAUUAUGUCUCACUAUCUAUCCAUUUAUCUAUUGCAAAUCGUUAGUUCUUGUGUUUGCCUCUUGUAGCCGUUUUGAGUUCUUGUUGUUUUGUGUUGUUGUUGCAUUUUUGGGGACUGUUUUGAGGCUUGUUUGGACUGCUUGGUAUCAUUCUCCCCUUCUUGAAAAAGGAUUCGACCUCGAAUCCGCUCCUUGUAAAAUCAAAGAAGGACAAACAAGCAAAAUAUCCUCAUGACAUAAGGGUUAGGAUUAGCAAAAUAUACACAUCACAUGUCAUGUCGAGGUGAGACAAACUUGGAGUAUACCCACGGGUCCUUUGUGUUGAACAUGAAAACCUUAGUAUAAAUGGAACAAAG
rnacentral:lncRNA from 1 species